rnacentral:rRNA from 1 species
UACGUAGGUGGCAAGCGUUAUCCGGAUUUACUGGGUGUAAAGGGCGUGUAGGCGGGAAAGCAAGUCAGAUGUGAAAACCAUGGGCUCAACCUGUGGCCUGCAUUUGAAACUGUUUUUCUUGAGUACUGGAGAGGCAGACGGAAUUCCUAGUGUAGCGGUGAAAUGCGUAGAUAUUAGGAGGAACACCGGUGGCGAAGGCGGCUUACUGGACUGUAACUGACGUUGAGGCUCGAAAGCGUGGGGAGCAAACAGG